GGGCAGGAUGUGUGAAGUAGUCCCACCGGCAAGCCGGCGUUCCUACUUCACUUUCCUUAUUCGCACCUUCGGUGCUCAACGGAAAUCCUGCUCUGCGAGGCA
rfam:Burkholderia pseudomallei strain K96243, chromosome 1, complete sequence.